rnacentral:rRNA from 1 species
GCCACACUGGGACUGAGAUACGGCCCAGACUCCUACGGGAGGCAGCAGUAGGGAGUCUUGCGCAAUGGGCGAAAGCCUGACGCAGCGACACCGCGUGAGGGACGACGGCCCUCGGGUUGUAAACCUCUUUCGGCAGGGACGAAGCGAUCGUGACGGUACCUGCAGAAGAAGCUCCGGCUAACCACGUGCCAGCAGCCGCGGUAAGACGUAGGGAGCGAGCGUUGUCCGGAUUCAUUGGGCGUAAAGAGCGCGCAGGCGGUUUGGUAAGUCGGAUGUGAAAACCCGGGGCUCAACCCCGGGCGUGCAUCCGAUACUCCCGGACUAGAGGUAGGUAGGGGAGAUCGGAAUUCCUGGUGUAGCGGUGAAAUGCGCAGAUAUCAGGAGGAACACCGGUGGCGAAGGCGGAUCUCUGGGCCUUACCUGACGCUCAG